AUGAUCUUGAGAUUAUGGCCUUUGGAAGAAUCAACAGAAGGUUCAGAUUCAGGAAUCUGUUGAAAGUGAUAACCCAGCUAAGAUAGAUUUAAGAAAAGAGGAUCUUGGAAUCAAGGUUAAUAGACUUAAGGAGCUCUAGAGCAGGAAACAGUGGCAGCAGCUGUGUCAUAAAGUUUAAAAAGUCUUGGGAUCCUGUUGGAGAUGGACAAAUACCCAGGGAAGAUCAGCUGCAAGGCUCUCAGCAUGGACUGUAGGGUUGCCUGGUGUAAAUGUGGAAUGCUGUGUUCGCACACGGAAGAGGAACCUAUGUCACUCGACAGAGGCCAAGCUCAAUUUAACACUGGACUUCCAGGCCAGAAACACUCCAAAGGAAAAUGGAAAUAAAAGUGUUCAAAACGAGUCACAUCUGCUUCUACAUUUAUGAGACAGGAGAGAUUUUGGUGGAUUACUUCAAUUUUGAAAGUACUGAAGAUGCUACACCCGUUGUAAUGGAAGAAGGCUCAGGGUGCAGUGGUUCCCAAAGGAACCCAAACCCCAAGGCAUUUGAGGGAGAAUCCUCUGAAAAGGACUGAAAAGAUCAGAAAACUAGAGAGAAGAGUAAUUGGACUUUAAGGUCUUUGGAGUUCAAAAAGUUUACAGUAGGAAGAGGGACCCAUUUUGGACUUGAAUUUCUCUGGUAAUUUAAUAAUGGGAAGGGCUUCACAUUGUUCCAUUUUCAGCCAUUCUUUGUUGUUUCAUUUUGACUUUUAAAAGUAAUUUUGUUGACCAAUUUUGGACAAUAUGACUAGGCAUGAUUUCAGAUGGGAAAUAAACUAGGAAGUGAAUAUUUGGCCUAGGGUGCAAUGUGGCCAUGAAGUUAAAUUGACUAAUAACCUGUUACAACCCAUUGCAGAAACUCUUAGGAGGACCAGCUCAACUCUCAGGGGUCCCAGGGAUUUACGGUGAGGAGCGGUGGUAAUAACUGAGGGAGCUGCUAAUCUCUCGCAGUUGGACAAUCCUGGCUGAACAAAGGUUUGAUUAUUAAGCCCAGUUGUUAAAGAGAGAAUAAAUAAUGGGGUAUAUGGGGAUUGUUCAGCUUCUCUUCCUGCAUUUCUGCCAGAGCUCGUGAAGGGAGAAACUUCCACCCAAGCUUUUGCCUCUACCUACCCUCUUGUUAGAUGCUCCAUAUGGAAGAAGUGACUAGUCUGGUCAGAGACUCUGGGGACAUUCUCUAGAGGGAGGGAUCAUGACAUUGAAAGACACUCACUUUUCUUUCUUACAGGUCCAAUGCCUGCUUUUUCAUUUCCUACCCCUAGAAGCAGUGGGUGGUUUUGCACAUAAUUCUCUCCAUGUAGUAAAGCAAAUCAAGGGGGAGUUGGAAGUAGGUGGGCUACCUCUGGUAAGGAGGCCUAAUCCUCCUCCUCUCCCAUUUCAG
rnacentral:lncRNA from 1 species